AAUGAAGCAUGGAGGUUUUAUUCAAGGGGGUGGGUGGGGAUCCGAGCUAGUCUGGGUUGACAUUGGAAUUUCUGAUGUCAGGUCCCAGUUGAAGCAGUAUUUUACUUGAGCUGUCUCUGAUGUCAGGGGGAUAGAAAAAAUUCCUGGUGAGCAGGAAGAAGAGUGUAUAAAGGGUAACGGGAUUUGUGUGUAUAUAUACCAUGUGCAGGUCAAGAACCUCAAAGAUGGCUUCUUGGAACUCCUUAUGCUGCUGAUGAAAAGAAAACACUGCCAGACAGAAAGGGGAUCCCACUAUGUUGGCCAGACUGGUUCCCAACUCCUGGACUGAAGCAAUCCUCCUGCCUCAGCCUCCCAAAGUGCUGGGAUUACAGAUGUAAGCCACCACACCUGGCCAGGAGGUUUUAUUCGUAAGUAAAUUAACUAUAUGCCCAGAAAUUCUGACAAACAAUUUUGUGAAUAAUCAUGAAAAUAUGCCCAUAAUUGAUACAAAUGAAAAGUGGCUUUACAAUUGCAAGACAAAGCCAUAACUAAGGUAAAGGUUCCUUAUUCUUAUUCCAAGCUGUUGUGUAUGACCAAGGAUACCAAAUAAGGUGUGAUUUCCAAGCUUCUUUGAGUUGUAAGCACUUUACCUUUUUGUUUCCCCCUCCAGAUACUAAUUUAGAGAUCACAGGUUCUCCUCAUCUAUUUUUUUUAAAAAAGGUGUGAGAACUAGUUUUUAGUUUUUCUAUCCUUGAAGUAGGCCGUAAGCAAAGUAGAGUUACAUUUAGUCCACGAGAUUCAAUAACAUGGCUACACAUCCCUUUCCAGGAAAGUAUACCCCUCUUAGAAGCAGACUGGACAUAGAAAUUCCUUGUAUACAUCUGUAAACUUAUCUUUUUCCUCCCUUGUCACCUUUUAAAAAAUCUUGGUGCAUUCUGUUUUUGUAUUACAACUGGACAUAAGAUUUUGGGGGAGAAAAUACUCUCAAAAUGUUAAAACGAAAAAACUGCACAUCUAAAAAAAACUCUUUAAUACUUAAAUCGGCAGGGUAUCAAUUCCCUUUGUUUCCUUAGAAUUCCUUUUUUUUUUUCAGUAGCUGAUGAAAAUGUUGACAUCCACCCAUCCAUUCAAAAUUCAAUAAACCUUUCAGUUUUUUUUUAAUUCUGUUAGGUUUAAGCCAUGGCCAAGAAAUUUAAUAAACUUAUUGUAUUCCUUUGCAGUAUGGUUAGUAAGACAUUGAAUGAAAAAAGGAUCCUUAUGUGAGAGUAAAUUCUGCCUCUGCUAAUCUAGCUAGAAAGACAGAAAAAUUUACAUGAUAACACAUGGUUAUAUAGGGGGUCAGUAGCAAAUGUGUGUUACAGAUAAUGUUUUAUAAAGAGCUAAGGAAGGAGACUAUUGUCAUGAGAAAAUGCUGUGGAAGAUUUAAGAGUGGACCCUGAAGGUUUUGGAUGGAUGGGCAAAGGGCAAGUAGCAAUAGGCAAUGGAGUUAGGUGUGAGCUAAACCGGGAGUCUGUCAUACCAGAUGCUGUGGGUUGGGUAUGGUAGAAAGCCUGUUUGGAGAUGCAGGCUAAAGUUGGGUUGUGUGACGUUCUGAAAACUGCAGCAGAGUUCGGGCUGUAUCUGCACCUCAAGUUUGCAGUAAGUUGUGAGGCAUGUGCCCAGUAAUUUGUUACUACUAAUUAAAGUACAGGACUGAAAUGUAUGGCUUAAUUUUCCUUUCUUCUUUUUCUUCUUAAAUAAACAAUAGACUAAAUCACACAUACCCCAUCAUGUCCCAUGGGUGAGAGAUGGGGAAGUAAUAACUUGUGCCCCCAGAAAAAUGGAUAGAGAACUACUGGAUGAAGUCAUGAAGGGCACUGAAAGUCUUUGAGCUGGGAAGGAAGACAGAAUUUAAAAAGAUGUUCACAGAGAAACUUGGUAUGCAUUAUUUCUAUCCCUGAGGGCAGAUGUGGCAAAAGUUGAAUUCCUGAUCUCUCGAUCAAUGCACUGAAGUGUGUGUGUGAACUGCGGCUCUUCACAGGAAUCAUCAGAUGGGAUCACCUUUAGGAAUGACUAUUCUCCUGUUCAUAGUAAAAGAUAGCAAACUGCUAGGCUAAUCACAGCAUUAUUUCAGUAGAGUUGAUGUUUGCAGCUCAGAGAAUUGUCAGUUUCAAUCCUAAAGCGUUGCAUCUUAGAGAGGUACAAGAAUACUUUUUGUUUCAGUAGAUAUGGCUUAAUAAAACUGAUUAGAAAAAAUCAGUUUUGAAGUUAGAACCAAAGACUGUAGACUGCCCUUGCUGCUCUAGUUAGCAAAAUCAAACAAAGAAUUAAAAUCCAGGCUGAGUGUGGUGGCUCAUGCCUGUAAUCCCAACACUUCGGGAGGCUGAGGGGGGUGGAUCACUUGAGAUCAGGAGUUCAAGACCAGCCUGGACAACAUGGUGAAACCCCCUCUCUACUAAAAAAACAAAAACUUAGCUGGGUGUGGUGGUACACGCUUGUAAUCCCAGCUAUUCAGGAGCCUAAGGCAGGAGAAUCUCUUGAACCUGGGAGGCAGAGGUUGCAGUGAGCCAAGAUCACACCAUUGCAUUCCAGCCUGGGCAACAGAGCAAGACUCCAUCUC